rnacentral:rRNA from 1 species
UACGUAGGAUGCAAGCGUUGUCCGGAUUUACUGGGCGUAAAGCGUGCGCAGGCGGUUUUGUAAGUCUGACGUGAAAGCCCCGGGCUUAACCUGGGAAUUGCGUUGGAGACUGCAAGGCUUGAAUCUGGCAGAGGGGGGUAGAAUUCCACGUGUAGCAGUGAAAUGCGUAGAGAUGUGGAGGAACACCGAUGGCGAAGGCAGCCCCCUGGGUCAAGAUUGACGCUCAUGCACGAAAGCGUGGGGAGCAAACAGG